AAAAGACUGCAUUUUAUGCCUAUCUUAGCAAUUUUAUAAGAGAUGAUCAGGAAGUCAUUAAAAGAGCAUGUUAAUGACCUAUAAACAUUUCCCAGGAAUUGAACACUAGAUGCGAAGUCAUCCAAGACUCUGCCUCUGCUUGUUAUGGAGAAAUUUAUUGAGAUAAACUCCAAGGACCUCAGACAACCUUUUUGAGGGAGUGAAACUCAUGAGAUUCUCCCUGGUCCCGAACACAUGAGACUUCCUGUGGUCUGAAACACACAGGCUUCUCAGCGUGCAUUAGCACGAAUCAGCAAGAAGGACUUCAAGCAACAUACCUCUUCUGGACCAAGAAUACAAAUGAAUGGACUUCAUUAAUUUCAUACCCAGCUCAAGGAUCCUAAUAGAGAAGAUGUCCACUGUUCCAAGGCUCUAUUUACUAAGAUGAGUUUUGACCUAGGUGUGUGAUCCUUUCAUUGAUCUCUGAAGUCAACAAUCACCUUUUUAAAAUUGUUUUAUUAUUUUUAUCAAUUCUCUGACUUUAAAUCUAACAUUGCAAUUUCACAAAAUUUUAAAUAAGUAAGAUAUAUUUGGGUUGAUUGUGAAGACCUUUCCCUAAUUUCUCACUUUCCUUUUCUAAACAAGAUACUUUCAUGCCAAAUAAUCCAACAGUGCUUAGUACUAUCUAUGGCAUAAGGGUGCUCAAUGACCCUUCCAUGCAUGGAGAAUGCUUUUGAUUUAAUUUGAUUUGACCUUCACUGAAAACAACCUCCAGGAAAUAUCUGUCGGUGCUCAGCACCACUUCUGCCCUUCUAAUCUCUCCUCUGUAUGGCAAGGGCCAAAAACCUGGAAAAUACAUUUCCCAAACUCUCUUAUGAGCAGGAUUCUGGAUGAAUGAAUGGCUCAGGAGAGAUAUGGGAAGAGGAAAAGAGAGCAUGCCAUCAUUUUCAGCUGUGGGCAGCACAAGGGUAUCGGCAGUGACAGAUGUGAUAUUCUUCCAGCAGCUCCCAAAUAGCCUCCUGACAAUCAGCUCCUUGGUGCUUUGGGCUUUGAGAUCAA